UACGUAGGGAGCAAGCGUUGUUCGGAUUUACUGGGCGUAAAGGGCGCGUAGGCGGCAUGACAAGUCACUUGUGAAAUCUCUGGGCUUAACCCAGAACGGCCAAGUGAUACUGUCGCGCUAGAGUGCGGAAGGGGCAAUCGGAAUUCUCGGUGUAGCGGUGAAAUGCGUAGAUAUCAAGAGGAACACCUGAGGUGAAGACGGGUUGCUGGGCCAACACUGACGCUGAGGCGCGAAAGCCAGGGGAGCAAACGGG
rnacentral:rRNA from 1 species